UAAAGUCCAAUCCAAGCCCCUAUAUCAAACUUGGCGAAAACCCUAAUCAUCUCCGAUCAGCAGCUAUGUGCGAGUCUCUUUCUCUCUCCUCCGUUUCUGUAAAACCUCUUUUUUUUAUGCAUUUGUCUAAUCACCAAUCUACCUUUCCCACAGAUUGAUCUUAUAUAUACAAAAUUUCUGCAAAUGGGGGGAUAAAAGGGGGCGUACAAUUACCGAUACUAUGUAGGAAGAAGCAGUUUGAUGUCAUGAGAUUCUCUCUCAAGGUCAAAUGUUGGAUUUGGGUAUAUGAUUAACUCCCUCCCAUUAUUCGACUCACUCACCCAGCUCGCCCUAACAAGGCUCGCCGCAGGGAUUUGUGGUCUACUGUCUUCCUGUGGGAAAAGGUGGAUGUAAGAGGCCCUGUGCCAAAGGGUUGUGUAUGGUAAGCCAAUACACAACUGAAGUUCCAGCGUAGCAAGAGGUCAGUUACCGAAGAGCGUGCUGGUCGCAAAUUGGGUGGUCUUAGGGUCCUCAGUUCCUACUGGUUCAAUGAGGCUUCAACGUACAAGUAUUAUGAAGUGAUCCUUGUUGUCACUGCUCAAAACGCCAUCAAAGACAACCCAAGAAUCGAUGAGGAUUCAACUUACAAGUAUUAUGAAGUGAUCCUUGUUGUCACUGCUCGCUACGCCAUCAAAAACAACCCAAGAAUCAAUGAGGAUUCAACUUACAAUUAUUAUGUAUUGAUCCUUGUUGACACUGCUCAGGCCAUCAGAAGAAUAGGCCAUCGCACAGAGCCACAUGGAAGAGAAACCAGUCCAAAUCAUUCCGCAGAUACUGUUGAUUUUUGCUGUUUGAUAUCUCAUGGGGUCUUUUUUGGUGGCUAUUUUUUUUACUGUAAUUUAAACUACGGAGUUGGUCAAGGUUGUCUUUCUAGAACAGAAUCCCGAGGCAUCUCCAGUAGUGUCUCUAAUGUUAAUUUUGGUUACUGUGCUUGCAUUUUUUUCAGUUACUUUGUGGGAUUUCAAACCCUGUAAUGGCCCGUUUGGAAACAAGGAUUUCAUUUCAAAUGAUGGAAUUGGGCUAAAUGAUCUGUUUGGGAAGCGAAAGUAUUUGGAUUUGUAUUUGGGCCAAAUCCAAGACUUUAAAAAAUAAGGCUAUUGUAAAGAAUUUGAAAUACAAAGUAAAUAGUUGUCAUUUGAAAUUCUUUUUUUUA